AGCAAACAGGAAGACAUCUUUAACACGUAACUUUCGGAGUAAAAAUUACAAAAAGAAUUCGUUUUUUUAGGUUAGAAUAUUUAACUCUUCAAAAACAAAAUUUCUAUAAUUUUGUUAAUCGGAUCAAAUUGCACCGCAUUGAAAGCUUAACAUGCAUUAUAUCCUAAAACAUCAGGCUUAAAACAAAAUAAGAUUGAAACAGCCUAAUCGAAAAUGAACGCAUAUACGAAAUUAAAAAAUGAAAAAUCACAUAAAAAAUCAUGGAAAAAAUGUAUUAAAACAAAAAUUAAGAAUUCCCUAAAGUCAUUAGAUUGGAUAGCUUUUGAAAUAGUUUGCUGUAUAUUUAAAUAGACGCGUGAUGAUUUUUUUU